CUAAACGACUCUCGGCAACGGAUAUCUCGGCUCUCGCAUCGAUGAAGAACGUAGCGAAAUGCGAUACUUGGUGUGAGUUGCAGAAUCCCGUGAACCAUCGAGUCUUUGAACGCAAGUUGCGCCCGAGGCCUCCUGGUCGAGGGCACGUCUGCCUGGGUGUCA
rnacentral:rRNA from 1 species